UACGGAGGAUGCAAGCGUUAUCCGGAAUUAUUGGGCGUAAAGCGUCCGCAGGUGGCACUUCAAGUCUGCUGUCAAAGACCGGGGCUUAACCCUGGAAAGGCAGUGGAAACUGAAGCGCUAGAGUGUGGCAGGGGUAGAGGGAAUUCCCGGUGUAGCGGUGAAAUGCGUAGAGAUCGGGAAGAACAUCGGUGGCGAAGGCAGGUCUCUGGGCUGACACUGACGCUCAUGCACGAAAGCGUGGGGAGCAAACAGG
rnacentral:rRNA from 1 species